rnacentral:rRNA from 1 species
UACGGAGGAGGCAAGCGUUGUCCGGAAUUAUUGGGCGUAAAGCGCGCGCAGGCGGUUGUGUAAGUCUGAUGUUAAAGCCCGGGGCUCAACCCCGGGUCGCAUUGGAAACUGCGUAACUUGAGUGCAGAACAGGUAAGGGGUAUUCCACGUGUAGCGGUGAAAUGCGUAGAUAUGUGGGGGAACACCAGUGGCGAAGGCGACUUUCUGGUCUGUAACUGACGCUGAGGCGCGAAAGCGUGGGGAGCAAACAGG